rnacentral:lncRNA from 1 species
CCGGCUAUCGGGCGCAUGACGGUUGACGCUUCUCGGCUAUUUUCGGCUAAUAUCUCUCACAAUCGCCUGCUCGGUGUUUGUGAGGAUAAACUAAUUGGUCCUUUGGUAGGAAAAACUCUUGCGUGUUGAUGGAUACAUAGGAAGGAAUAGAAGUUUCAAGUUCCAAAACCUGAGAGAAAGGUAAUUGAAUCCUUUUUCUUUUGGCGAGUGUAUGGUAGAUCUAGAAUUCUAGAAGCAGUAGCAACGAUGGCAGAAACAGGUAUUGAUCGCCGGUGAUGGGAAAUCGAGUGAAGGAGGUGAAAUGGUUGAAACCUCGAUGAAUGAUCAACUUUUAGUUUUAUCUUAUAAGAAAUUGGGAAUUUGAAUUUGUUGUGAUUAGGGAUUUAAGAGGGAUUAACUUAUUGGUUGCUGAAAGUUUCACUUGUGUUCUCUCUGUUGUUGAGCUGAGUUUUUCAAUCUCUUUGAUUUGUGAGUGAGAAUGAAUUAGAGGGAAGAGAAGUUUAGGAUUUCCCUUUUUAAUGGUUAGAGAUUGUGUGUUAUUUUUUUUGAUUAUUUUGUAUUUGGGUAGAGAUGGAUGAUUUCAUAACUGCUAGAAGAUUUGAACUCUAUGUUUUCUUAUUUGGCUUCAUUUCCAUUUUUUUUGGAAUUGCUUUCCAUUUGAUUGAGAAGCUGCUGAAUGGAUUAUUAAAGCAGAUUGUAGAGCAUUGCGUCUUCACUUUUCAUGUUAGGGAUUGUAAACUUUUACUGAAUUUGUAUAUGGGUAGACAUGAGUUUUGAAUCGUUCCUCUUUUUAGUUCUAAAUUUUCAUGUUUAUCGAUUUGCUUUUGUUCAUUUGUAAAGUUUCUGAGUGAGACCAAAAUGCUGAGUGAGGAGAUUUGGCUUUGAUUACUCACGUGGAGAGUAGAAAUGACAUAUUUGUAGAUGCAGAUGGGGAUAUUAUUCACGAGGCCGAUAGCAAAGUUGACUUGAAAGAUGACGAACUUUCAACAUUGGGGAUGUGGAUGGACUGGGAGAAAUGCCGGAGGAGUAAAUUUCAGAGAAAAAGAGUAUUGAGAAA